CCUACGGGAGGCAGCAGUGGGGAAUUUUGGACAAUGGGCGCAAGCCUGAUCCAGCCAUGCCGCGUGCGGGAAGAAGGCCUUCGGGUUGUAAACCGCUUUUGUCAGGGAAGAAAAGGUUCUGGAUAAUACCUGGGACUCAUGACGGUACCUGAAGAAUAAGCACCGGCUAACUACGUGCCAGCAGCCGCGGUAAUACGUAGGGUGCAAGCGUUAAUCGGAAUUACUGGGCGUAAAGCGUGCGCAGGCGGUUAUGCAAGACAGAGGUGAAAUCCCCGGGCUCAACCUGGGAACUGCCUUUGUGACUGCAUAGCUAGAGUACGGUAGAGGGGGAUGGAAUUCCGCGUGCAGCAGUGAAAUGCGUAGAUAUGCGGAGGAACACCGAUGGCGAAGGCAAUCCCCUGGACCUGUACUGACGCUCAUGCACGAAAGCGUGGGGAGCAAACAGGAUUAGAUACCCUGGUAGUCCACGCCCUAAACGAUGUCAACUGGUUGUUGGGAGGGUUUCUUCUCAGUAACGUAGCUAACGCGUGAAGUUGACCGCCUGGGGAGUACGGCCGCAAGGUUGAAACUCAAAUGAAUUGACGG
rnacentral:rRNA from 1 species